AUGUCCCCACAUCCACUGCAGAGCUGGGGAGCUGGGAAUCCCCACUUCAUCCCAGCCCAGUGCCCAGAGAGCAGGAGGCUCCUGGUACCCAGUGGCCUCUGGAUGAAACGUUGGGAAAUUACUACACAGUGGCAGCAGGAACAGAGGCGGAAGGGGUCCUGCAGCGACAACGUUGUCGGCGGGGGUGGCCAAGGGAGCUGAGCACUGAGGGGACUUGCCCGCUCAGAAGCUGGAUCUCGAGCUGGGCAGGAUGGAUCACCACCAGCUGGGGACUGGGCAUUACCAGGUGCUUCUUAAUGAAGAGGAUAACUCAGAAUCAUUGGCCAUAGAGCAGCCAUCUACUUCAAACCCAGCACCACAGAUUGUGCAGGUUGCCUCUUCAGCACCAACAGUUGAAACUGACUCUUACCCUCCACCAUAUAGUAAUAUUACUGCAAAAGUACCUACAAGUUCAGAUACAGAAGUUUACAGUGAGUCUUAUCCUGUGCCACCUCCCUAUAGUGUUGCUACCUCUCUUCCUACAUACAAUGAAGCUGAGAAGGCUAAAGCUGCUGCAAUGGCAGCUGUAGCAGCAGAAACAUCUCAAAAUAUUCAGGAGGAAGAGUGUCCACCAAGAGAUUACUUCAGUGAUGCAGACCAGCUCAGAGUGGGGAAUGAUGGCAUUUUCAUGCUGGCAUUUUUCACGGCAUUUAUUUUCAACUGGCUUGGAUUUUGUUUAUCCUUCUGUAUCACCAAUACCAUAGCUGGACGGUAUGGUGCUAUCUGCGGAUUUGGCCUUUCCUUGAUCAAAUGGAUCCUUAUUGUCAGGUUUUCUGAUUAUUUUACUGGAUAUUUCAAUGGACAGUAUCGGCUUUGGUGGAUAUUUCUUGUACUUGGCCUGCUCCUUUUCUUCAGAGGAUUUGUUAAUUAUCUAAAGUCAGAAACAUGUCUGAAAGUAUGGCAGCUGCUCAUAGAACAAGGUAUUUCUUCUUAUAGAGACUGCAUCAACCCAACAUUCCUUUCUUAUACCAAUGUGAAAUUUCCAGAUCAUCAGUAAACCUACAACUUUAAUAGGAUAGAAGACUACUAAUUGCAGAAGACAAAUUAGUGAAGAAAAGACAGAGCUUUGAAACCGAAUGGCAGAGUGGCUUAUGUUUACAGGCCACUUCUGUUCAUUCUUUAAGUAUCUAUAUUUCAUUUGUUUUGCACAUAUGCAUAUGUGCCCACUUAAGAGAUCUGCAUAUACUUGAAAGAAAUCAUAAAGUUGUGGCACUUAAGUCCAGUCACAUUUGGUUAAUCAGUGUUUGAUAUAAUUGAAAGAGGUGAGUGAUAAACAAUCUUCCAGCAUGUAAAUGCCAUUGACUUUUGACCUGAUAUUUAGUAUAAUAAAAAUGAAAUUAUUAACCAUGAAAAAAAAGAAAAGAAAA